UGCCUAUUCAUGCAAGUCGAACGAAGGUCUAGCUUGCUAGACCUUAGUGGCGAACGGGUGAGUAAUACAUAAAUAAUCUGCCCAUCUGCCUGGGAUAACUAUUGGAAACGAUAGCUAAUACCGGAUAGGUUGAUUGGAGGCAUCUCUGAUCAAUUAAAGUAGGAUUUCUACACAAAUGGAUGAGUUUAUGGCGCAUUAGUUAGUUGGUGGGGUAACGGCCUACCAAGACGAUGAUGCGUAGCCGACCUGAGAGGGUGACCGGCCACACUGGGACUGAGACACGGCCCAGACUCCUACGGGAGGCAGCAGUAGGGAAUUUUCGGCAAUGGGCGCAAGCCUGACCGAGCAACGCCGCGUGAGUGAUUAAGGCCUUCGGGUUGUAAAGCUCUGUUGUAAGGGAAGAACAAUCAGUAUAGGAAAUGAUACUGAUCUGACGGUACCUUACCAGAAAGCCACGGCUAACUACGUGCCAGCAGCCGCGGUAAUACGUAGGUGGCAAGCGUUAUCCGGAAUUAUUGGGCGUAAAGGGUGCGUAGGCGGUUUAUUAAGUCUAUGGUGAAAGUGCGGGGCUCAACCCCGUAUGGCCAUAGAAACUAGUAGACUUGAGUGCAGGAGAGGGCAAUGGAAUUCCAUGUGUAGCGGUAAAAUGCGUAGAUAUAUGGAGGAACACCAGUGGCGAAGGCGGUUGCCUGGCCUGUAACUGACGCUGAAGCACGAAAGCGUGGGGAGCAAAUAGGAUUAGAUACCCUAGUAGUCCACGCUGUAAACGAUGAAUACUAAGUGUUGGAGAAAUUCAGUGCUGCAGUUA
rnacentral:rRNA from 1 species